rnacentral:rRNA from 1 species
UGAAUACGAGACGCUACGGCGUCGAAGCAGUCUAUGUCAUACUUCCAAGAAAAGCUCGCAAUGUCAUAAACAAAUAAUGCCUGUACCAUAACCGACACAGGUGGGUAGGUAGAGUAUACUAAGGGGCGCGAGAUAACUCUCUCUAAGGAACUCGGCAAAAUGACUCCGUAACUUCGGGAGAAGGAGUGCCUUAUUUAUAAGGUUGCAAUAACAAGAUCCAAGCAACUGUUUAUCAAAAACACAGGUCUCCGCUAAGUCGUAAGACGAUGUAUGGGGGCUGACGCCUGCCCAGUGCCAGAAGGUUAAAGAAGUUGGUUAGCAUUCGCGAAGCUGAUAACUGAAGCCCUGGUGAACGGCGGCCGUAACAAUAACGGUCCUAAGGUAGCGAAAUUCCUUGUCGGGUAAGUUCCGACCCGCACGAAAGGCGUAAUGAUUUGGAUACUGUCUCGGAGAGGGGCUCGGUGAAAUAGACUUGUCUGUGAAGAUGCGGACUACCUGCACCUGGACAGAAAGACCCUAUGAAGCUUUACUGUAACUUGAAAUUGAAAUUGGACUUUAUUUGCGCAGCAUAGGUGGGAGGCGUUGAGAGUAUUCUUGCGGGAAUAUUGGAGCCAUCAGUGAGAUACCACUCUUGUAAUGUUAGAUUUCUAACUUUGGAUCAUUAUCUGGUCAAAGAACAGUUUCAGGCGGGCAGUUUGACUGGGGCGGUCGCCUCCCAAAUGGUAACGGAGGCGUACAAAGGUUUCCUCUGAACGGGUAGAAAUCGUAUCUAGAGUGUAAAGGCAUAAGGAAGCUUGACUGUGAGACCUACAAGUCGAGCAGGGACGAAAGUCGGUCUUAGUGAUCUGACGGUGCUGAGUGGAAAGGCCGUCACUCAACGGGUAAAAGUUACUCUAGGAUAACAGGCUGAUCUCCCCCAAGAGUUCACAUCGACGGGGAGGUUUGGCACCUCGAUGUCGGCUCAUCGCAUCCUGGGGCGGUAGUACGUCCCAAGGGUUGGGCUGUUCGCCCAUGAAAGCGGUACGCGAGCUGGGUUCAGAACGUCGUGAGACAGUUCGGUCCAUAUCCGGUGUAGGCGUUAGAAUAUUUAGAGGAGCCUUCUUUAGUACGAGAGGACCGAGAAGGACAUACCUCUGGUGUACCAGUUAUCGUGCCAACGGUAAACGCUGGGUAGCUAUGUAUGGAGAGGAUAACCGCUGAAAGCAUCUAAGUGGGAAGCCCACCUCAAGAUAAGUAUUCUCAUG